AGUGCCACAGUGGAAGGAAGUAGAAAACUGGGAAACUAAAACUUUAAAGCUCAUUUCGGUUUUGUAUUCUUUAGUCAUUCCAUUCGGUAUCGGAUAAAACUUCAUCCAUACGUAAAAUGUAAUACAGCCAGUGUCAACCAACACUCAGAUAAUCAACGAAAUUAUGCCAUCAAUUUCCGAAAUAUUCUGCUACAAAUAGGUUUCUAAGACCGAUGAGCUCUGCCAAAAUGUCUGCUUUUAAAUCAUAGAGAGUGAGCUUGCCGAAAAAAAAGCAGAAGCGGAAUGCAUGUGCCAAACAAAAAACUUGGCUUCAUGAAUUAAAGAUGACUACGCCACGCGUUCUGCCAUGAAAGGGGGUGUGGCACCCGGCACCACUGACAAGGGCAUUGACUAUGCGAACAAUGCGAGGUGCAAGUGGAGGAGUUGGAACUUCAAAGGGUCGAGGGACAAAGGGAGCUACAGCUACCUAGGGAAACGUGGCCAACCGAGCGUGACCAAGAACGCCCAAACCCUGUUUAAUCUUUCGCCUUCGCACUCGCCCUCUUUCAGUUGUCCGUCAGCCAAGAACAAUGCUCAAAUAAACUAUUUAUUGUGCUGGUUGCUGGCUGCUGGCUGUUGGCAAGGACAACGAGGAAGGUCCUGGCAUCUGAGCAAACGCAAUUAAAUUUGUGUGUAGCGUAUAAAUAAAUUUUAAGUGGCAGUUAAGAGACCUGCGCUGCCAGGGCUUAACCAAAUUCCA